GGAGUCCAACGUGCGCGCGAGUCAAUCGGAGCAAACUUUUAAACCCAAAGGCGAAGCGAAAGCGAAGGACGACGCGGGGCCGGCGGCGAUUUGUCGUCGUCGGCAUUCCGUCGUCCGUCGGGAGGAUUGGCCGUCGCAACACGCGCGGCCCCGCACUCCCGGGGCGUCUCCGUCAGGCACCGUCGCGCACGGCGUUCGCGCGUCGUCGUACGGUGUGGGACCCGUCCUGAAACACGUCGUCGUACGGUGCCGGAGGCGCACCUCUAGCGCGCACGCUGGGACCCGAAAGAUGGUGAACUAUGCCUGGUCAGGACGAAGUCAGGGGAAACCCUGAUGGAGGUCCGCAGCGAUUCUGACGUGCAAAUCGAUCGUCAGAACUGGGUAUAGGGGCGAAAGACCAAUCGAACCGUCUAGUAGCUGGUUCCCUCCGAAGUUUCCCUUAGGACAGCUGGCGCUCGUAUCGAGAGAGUCUCAUGCGAUAAAGCGAAUGAUUAGAGCGAAUCGGGGUCGAAACGACCUCAACCUAUUCUCAAACUUUAAAUGUGUGAGAUCUCCGGCUUGCCCGACACACGAAGCCGCGAGAUCGGAUCUAGAGUGCCAAGUGGGCCAUUUUACGCGAAGUUAAAGCGCCCAAAUCGACGCUCAUUGGAAACCAGAAAAGGCGUUGGUAACUCAGGACAGCAGGACGGUGACCAUGGAA
rnacentral:rRNA from 1 species